rnacentral:rRNA from 1 species
AUACGUAGGGAGCGAGCGUUGUCCGGAAUUACUGGGUGUAAAGGGAGCGUAGGCGGGAGUGCAAGUCAGAUGUGAAAUACAUGGGCUCAACCCAUGGGCUGCAUUUGAAACUGCAUUUCUUGAGUGAAGUAGAGGUAAGCGGAAUUCCUGGUGUAGCGGUGAAAUGCGUAGAUAUCAGGAGGAACACCGGUGGCGAAGGCGGCUUACUGGGCUUUUACUGACGCUGAGGCUCGAAAGCGUGGGGAGCAAACAGGAUUAGAUACCCUGGUAGUCCAUGCUGUAAACGAUGAUUACUAGGUGUGGGGGGACUGACCCCUUCCGUGCCGCAGUUAACACAAUAAGUAAUCCACCUGGGGAGUACGGCCGCAAGGUUGAAACUCAAAUGAAUUGACGGGG